ACAGCAGCCGCCGCGGGAAUACGAAGGGUGCAAGCGUUAAUCGGAAUUACUGAGCGUAAAGCGUGCGUAGGCGGUGAGUUAAGUCUGCUGUGAAAUCCCCGGGCUCAACCUGGGAAUGGCAGUGGAUACUGGCUCGCUAGAGUGUGUCAGAGGAUGGUGGAAUUCCCGGUGUAGCGGUGAAAUGCGUAGAGAUCGGGAGGAACAUCAGUGGCGAAGGCGGCCAUCUGGGACAACACUGACGCUGAGGCGCGAAAGCGUGGGGAGCAAACAGGAUUAGAUACCCCCGUAGUCCCUGUCUCUUAUAC
rnacentral:rRNA from 1 species